rnacentral:rRNA from 1 species
CAGUAGCCGCGGUAAUACGUAGGGUGCGAGCGUUAAUCGGAAUUACUGGGUGUAAAGCGUGCGCAGGCGGUUGUGUAAGACAGGUGUGAAAUCCCCGGGCUUAACCUGGGAACUGCGCUUGUGACUGCACAGCUAGAGUAUGGCAGAGGGGAGUGGAACUCCACGUGUAGCAGUGAAAUGCGUAGAGAUGUGGAGGAACACCGAUGGCGAAGGCAGCCCCCUGGGCCAAUACUGACGCUCAUGCACGAAAGCGUGGGGAGCAAACAGGAUUAGAUACCCGAGUAGUCCCUGUCUCUUAUAC